rnacentral:misc_RNA from 1 species
CAAAAGAUAGGUAUAUUUGAUCAUAUAUGGCAGUUUUCUCCUCAGCUGUGAUGAGUGGUAGUAUCACAUAGCUUUCUUAUGUACAUCUAUCCAGGUCUCAAAUUGAUUCUCCUAAGCCAUAUGGAGUGCAAUAUCAUAUGAAAAACAUCAAAUCGCUUAGCAGGUUGGUUCAACACAAAGUGCUUUCUAACAGCUUUUAAACCCUCCUUAAGCUUCUUGUAUUUUUCUUCAGGAACUGAUCUUAACACCUCUUUUAGUCUUGGAAUUUCUGAUACUUUCACCCGUAUUGAAAACGCCUCCCAUCUUAAAACAUCGCUAAAUGGCAAAACAUAAUAUUUCGACAAAAUCACAGGCACGCAUUCAGCAUAAAUGGCCUCAACAAUUCUAGGGCUUGCUACUUCAUGGCCGCUUGGACAAAGACAAAACUUGGAUUGGAGCAUGAAUGAAUAAUAAUUCAAGUGUUUAGGAAGGUAUUCGAAGACACGAAGAUCAGAGUCACGGUCUUUCCACUGGUUGAGGAGGAGGGGACGGAUUGGGCCAUGAAGACCACCGGCAAAGAAGGCAAGGUAGGGACGUGAGGUAUUGGCUGGUGGUGGGGAUAGGAGUUGGGGUGGAAAGUUACCACUGUAGAGGUGAAUUUCAGGGAGGCUUACAUCCUUUCGGGGAUUGAAACCCUCAGAAGUGUUGGCAUUGCACAGGACUCGGAUUGAUGUGUUGUAAAGGAGCGGGUUGGCCCGGGAUGCAUGGGGACCCCAAUCAUGACAAGCAAGCAUGAAGUGAUCAGCCCCACAAGUUCUAUUCCAAAAAGGAUAUUUGAUAGAUAUCACUCUUACAUAAUCAGCCACAAACUGCUGUAGCGGUGUAAGAUCGUAUGUGAGAGGCUUGUAGAGAUACUUGACCAUCCAGGCUACGCUGAAGGGCAUGAAAUAAACGUGGGCACGUUGAGGAUCUCUUGUUCUAUGCCUCCUGGACCCAUGUUCCAUCUCGUGUAUAAACCUCCCCUCUAUUGUAUAUAUGUCCUUGCAUGGCCCAUCAUGGACGAUAGGUGGGCUCCCUUCGGAGUACACGUAGACCUUGAAUCUCCUCUCCAUCUCCAGGUAACUCUGAUAAAAUGCGGCGUGGUUACGAUAAACAGCUUCUCCGACAACGUCCCUUCGGUUCACCCCGCCGAUGGGUGAGACGUUUGGAGCUGAUAAAGCAGCUGCCUUGCGUAUCGAAGCUCGACCUCGAGCUAGUCCUUGUUCCAGUAGCUCUUCUUCUCUGCUAUGUACUUUUGAGAUUUUCUUAAUGCCAGUAGUGUUCCUGAAUCGAUUGAUCAUAGGAGAAGUAUAGCUGGACGGAGCAGAAUGAACAUAGUGGAUUUGAUCCGAGGCGGAAACCUGAGUCUGCAACUGGACGAUAGGAACUGAGAUUGAAGACUGAAAAUUAGAAACAGAGAAGAUUGAAAAAGAAGAAAAAUUAAAAAGAGCAGAGAGGCUCAAAAUCAAGAAGAGGAGAAGAAGAAUUAAAAAAGAGUGAGUGAAGGAAUAUCCAUGCAGUUUGAUAUCCAUUUGACACUAGUUGUGUUUUUGCUCUGUGUAUAAUCUGAAAAUAUUUGAAAUGGCGACAGUAUGUUUGGCUUGCGCGAUUUUGUUUUCUCGGGGAAAUGGAGUGAGAGAGAGAGAGAG